GAGUUUGAUCCUGGCUCAGGAUGAACGCUGGCGGCGUGCCUAACACAUGCAAGUCGAGCGAAGCACUUUACUUGAUUUCUUCGGAUUGAAGGUAUAGUGACUGAGCGGCGGACGGGUGAGUAACGCGUGGGUAACCUGCCUCAUACAGGGGGAUAACAGUUAGAAAUGACUGCUAAUACCGCAUAAGACCACAGCACCGCAUGGUGCGGGGGUAAAAACUCCGGUGGUAUGAGAUGGACCCGCGUCUGAUUAGCUAGUUGGUAAGGUAAGGGCUUACCAAGGCGACGAUCAGUAGCCGACCUGAGAGGGUGACCGGCCACAUUGGGACUGAGACACGGCCCAAACUCCUACGGGAGGCAGCAGUGGGGAAUAUUGCACAAUGGGGGAAACCCUGAUGCAGCGACGCCGCGUGAGUGAUGAAGUAUUUCGGUAUGUAAAGCUCUAUCAGCAGGGAAGAAAAUGACGGUACCUGACUAAG
rnacentral:rRNA from 1 species